UCAGAACGAACGCUGGCGGCAGGCUUAAUACAUGCAAGUCGAACGAGAAUUUGGAGCUUGCUCCAAAGGACAGUGGCAGACGGGUGAGUAACGCGUGGCAACCUACCCUUUACUACGGGACAACAGUUGGAAACGACUGCUAAUACCGUAUACGUCCUCCGGGAGAAAGAUUUAUCGGUGAAGGAUGGGGCCGCGUUAGAUUAGCUAGAUGGUGGGGUAAAGGCCUACCAUGGCGACGAUCUAUAGCGGGUCUGAGAGGAUGAUCCGCCACACUGGGACUGAGACACGGCCCAGACUCUACGGGAGGCAGCAGUAGGGAAUAUUGGACAAUGGGCGCAAGCCUGAUCCAGCCAUGCCGCGUGAAUGAUGAAGGCCUUAGGGUUGUAAAAUUCUUUCGCUAGGGAAGAUAAUGACUGUACCUAGUAAAGAAGCCCCGGCUAACUCCGUGCCAGCAGCCGCGGUAAUACGGAGGGGGCUAGCGUUGUUCGGAAUUACUGGGCGUAAAGCGUGCGUAGGCGGAUUAGCAAGUAUAGGGUGAAAUCCCAGGGCUCAACCCUGGAACUGCCUUGUAAACUGCUAGUCUUGAGUUCUGGAGAGGUAAGUGGAAUUCCUAGUGUAGAGGUGAAAUUCGUAGAUAUUAGGAGGAACACCAGAGGCGAAGGCGGCUUACUGGACAGAUACUGACGCUGAGGCACGAAAGUGUGGGGAGCAAACAGGAUUAGAUACCCUGGUAGUCCACACCGUAAACGAUGAGAGCUAGUUGUCUGCAAGCAUGCUUGUAGGUGA
rnacentral:rRNA from 1 species